rnacentral:rRNA from 1 species
CUACGGGGGGCAGCAGUCGAGAAUCUUCCGCAAUGGGCGAAAGCCUGACGGAGCAAUGCCGCGUGCAGGAUGAAGGCCUUCGGGUCGUAAACUGCUGUCACCGGGGAUGAAUAAUGACAGUACCCGGGGAGGAAGUCACGGCUAACUACGUGCCAGCAGCCGCGGUGAUACGUAGGUGACAAGCGUUGUUCGGAUUUAUUGGGCGUAAAGGGUUCGUAGGAUGUUGAUUAAGAUUGGUGUGAAAUCCCAAGGCUCAACCUUGGAACUGCAUUGAUUACUGAUGAACUAGAGUGUCGUAGAGGAAAGCGGAAUUCCAGGUGUAGCGGUGGAAUGCGUAGAUAUCUGGAAGAACACCGACAGCGAAGGCAGCUUUCUGGGCGAUAACUGACUCUGAGGAACGAAAGCAUGGGGAGCAAACAGGAUUAGAUACCCCCGUAGUC